UACGGAGGGUGCGAGCGUUGUCCGGAAUCAUUGGGCGUAAAGGGCGCGUAGGUGGCCCGGUCAGUCAGUGGUGAAAGCGCGGGGCUCAACUCCGCGUCGGCCAUUGAUACUGCUGGGCUGGAGCACUGUAGAGGCAGGCGGAAUUCCGGGUGUAGCGGUGGAAUGCGCAGAUAUCAGGAGGAACACCCGUAGCGAAGGCGGCACUCUGGGCCGAUACUGACACUGAGGAGCGAAAGCGUGGGGAGCGAACAGG
rnacentral:rRNA from 1 species